UGUACAACUCCAUUUGAUUACAAGAAAUAUGGAACUCCAGUCCUGGGCCCUCUCAUCUGAUUGUUUUCUUCUGUUUCGGUGAAGAACUUCACUUCUCUCUCCUGAAGAAAUGCAAAUAACAAUAAGCGUAUUUUAUGCAGCCGUAUAAAGUGAAGAGGAAAGAAAGGUACAUGGAAAAAGGUUUCUCACCAUAAUCUCAUUGAAGCUCAAUAUAGAAGCUACAUUCCCACAUCGGUAACAAUAAUUCGGGGCGGACCAUACCUUAAAAAAAAUCAAUAAUCAAGAAAUUCUAAUAAACUCUUAACACCAUUA